AUUGAACGCUGGCGGCAUGCCUUACACAUGCAAGUCGAACGGCAGCGGGGGAGAAGCUUGCUUUUCCUGCCGGCGAGUGGCGAACGGGUGAGUAAUACAUCGGAACGUGCCCUGUAGUGGGGGAUAACUAGUCGAAAGAUUAGCUAAUACCGCAUACGACCUGAGGGUGAAAGUGGGGGACCGCAAGGCCUCAUGUUAUAGGAGCGGCCGAUGUCUGAUUAGCUAGUUGGUGGGGUAAAGGCCUACCAAGGCGACGAUCAGUAGCUGGUCUGAGAGGACGAUCAGCCACACUGGGACUGAGACACGGCCCAGACUCCUAAGGGGGGCAGCAGUGGGGAAUUUUGGACAAUGGGCGAAAGCCUGAUCCAGCAAUGCCGCGUGUGUGAAGAAGGCCUUCGGGUUGUAAAGCACUUUUGUCCGGAAAGAAAUGGCUCUGGUUAAUACCUGGGGUCGAUGACGGUACCGGAAGAAUAAGGACCGGCUAACUACGUGCCAGCAGCCGCGGUAA
rnacentral:rRNA from 1 species